UAGGAUUUAGGUUAAUUUAAACCAAGUGCCUUCAAAGCUCUUAAUAGGCAAGACAGGCCUAAUCCUAA
rnacentral:tRNA from 1 species